CCUCAGGGGACAUUUCCUGGGGAGGAGGCCCAGGGGAGGUGGAGGAGGCCCUUGGGCAGGCUGGGACUGGCCAGGACACCACAGGGUUGCCAGGUGACAGACAACAGCGUGCCGAGCAGCUCCGGGGUGCACUGUGCCUCCUCCCAGGGAGGUUCCUCUCCGUGCCCCCCGGCCAUCACAGCGCAGGCAGCUGAGCCCGGCUGCAUCCCGCUUGGGACGUUCACUCUGAAGCGUAAUGAGGACCUUGAGCCUUCUGGAGCAGAGCCCUGCAACCCGGGGCACCCCAUCCCUGUCCCCCCCGCAGCAGCGCAGUGCUGGGACGUAUGGCAGAGCCUGCAGUGCCUCUCCUGACACUGUCGAUGUCCGUGGGACGGCCGUGGCUCCCGCUGAGGGCAGAGCUCCGGCUGCAGAUCCCAGCUUGGGAGGCUCCAGAUUUGCUGCUCCCCACGCAGGGAUGGUGGAACGCGGAGCGUGGAGCUGCUGGGGGCCACAGUGGGGCAGCAGGAGCAGCUCCAGCUCUGUGUGCACCGAGGAUGUGGCUGCCAGGUGUCGGGAGGGCACAGUGGGGACCUCCGAGGAGGAGGAGGAUGGCAGCGGGCAGGAUGGGGCCCCGCUCCCGUGGCAGUGCCCCUGGCAGGACAUGUCCCCAGGGCUGAUGAGGAGGGGGAGUCUGGAGUCGCUGGGAGCCAGGAUAUCCAGGCUGAGCCAGAGUGGGGCUGUGACCCCCUGCCCGGCCCCCUCCGGGCACCCAGCGCAGGGCAGGGGGGAUGCAUCCCACUGGGGCUCACGCUCCAGGGCAAAGCCCUCAGUCACCACUGUGCAUGGUGGGGAUGGGGACGCUGGACAUCUCCGGAGACCCUCAGGCAGCUCAGCCAGCAGGAGCAGGGCCAGGGCCAUGGGACACUGCAGAUGGCAGGAGCCACCAGCACGCCGGGGGUGGCAUGGAGGGGACGUCACCCUCACUGCAGAGAAGGAAGGAGAUGGCGACGGGCGGAGGAGAGCUCUCUGCACCAAAGCAGCAGUGGGACCCACCAGGAGAUGCAGCCCCUGGGCAGAGGGGCAGCACGAGGUGUCCUGCCCAGGGCAUGCAGCCAAGCCCCGGUGGCAGCGCUGGAAGCAGAAGGCCGUCCUGUCCCAUAGGGGCGCGUGCGUGGGAUUGUGUGGAUGUGGAGGAGGUGGUGAGCACUCUGAGAUGGGCAAAGGGGGGUGGCAGAGGGACAGGUUGGGGGGCAGCAGGGCAGGGGCUGGGCUGGCCAUGCCAUAAGAAGGGAGGAAGGAGUGGGAGGGAGGCAGAAGGGGGGUCCCUGUCUCAGCAGGGGCAGAAGGGCUGUGCUGAACACCCAGGGAAGGUGAGGAGGAAAACGUUGGAUCUCAGAGAAGAGAAGAGGGAGCUGCAGGAGAGGCUCUGUGGACUGGAGCUCCAGAUGCUCUCCAUGCUGCGGCAGAGGCAGGAGGCCCUGGGGCAGCUGCGGGCAGUGCUGCAGAAGGAGAGGAUGGCCACACUCAGGCGGCUGCAGGAGAGCCUGGAGAAGGUGAAUGGGACCAUCUGUGUCUGUCAGAACUGUCACCCAGAGGAGCUGCCAGCCCCAGGAGCCCUGAAGGAGCCACUGACCCCAGAGAGAGCCCUGCGGGAGGCAGCGACGUGUGUGUGGGAUCCAGCCCGGCCACCAUCUCCUUCCCCUUCUACACCUGGGUUGAGCCAUGCCACAGGUGCACAGAGAAGGGGUGAGCACCUGUGCCACCGCUCAGCCUCUUCCCUGCCCCCAAGCACUGUGCCCUGCCUCCAGCAGCAACACCACACGGCGCUGGGGGUCCUGCACCACAUCCAGCGCUGCCUGCGGGAGCUGCAAGUAGAGGACCUCGGUGUGCUGGGAGCAGAGCUGGGCACCACAGCAAAUGAGGAGAGGUUCCUGAUGCCACCUCUUGACAUUCCUCCAAGCCCCAACAGGAACAAGCUCGCUGCUGCGACCAGGACUCGAGAUGAAGCAUGGAGGUGGUGAUGCAUCCCUCUACCUCCCUAUGCAUACCCAGGUCGACCAGUUGUGAAGCUGCUGAACGGGUCCCACGGAAUUUCCCAUGUAGAAGCUUCUCUUAGGUCCUGGCUGGGCUCCUUCCAAGGGCUGGGGACCGCGGGACAGCAUUUUGGGUGCGAUGGGUGAGGUCACGUGCCUCCACCAGGCUGCUGUCCAAGGUCCUGCCGGGAGAACCUGGAUUCCCAACCAGCAUCUUUGCUCCUCACACUCAUUUAGGAGCUUGGAAUGGAGAGGUCCAUGUUGCAGGGGUGGUCGCUCAGUGGGGUGGGAAUGAAGGUUUUGGGUUGGGGUGAGAUAUGGAGAAGUAGAUGGGGAGUAAGGGCUGGGGGAAAUCUCGUGCCUUCCCAGGUCUGGUUGGCUGGGCCACGCACAUCGGGAGUGCUUUGGGAUGGCUGUGGGCAGAAACACUUCAGGAAAAAAAGAAGUUUAAAAAUGAGGAAUUGUUCUACUUAGGAGCUCUCAAAUAAUUUUAAAGAGGAGAAACCUAUUUCUCAGUCUUCACACAUCUCAAUGGAGAAAAUGCUGUUUUUAAUUUGCAGGAGAAUGCCCAAGGAGAGUUUCUCUGCAUGCGAGGGGGGAAAUGAGAAUUUCAUGCAGUACUGAUUGCUGCACUUCCUUGCUGGAGGAGGCAGGGAGUGAAAAUGGAAAUCUUUGUCUGCUUUCUUCCCAAUCAAAAUAAAAAUGUUCCUCAUUAUAUUUUUCUGGACUGGGGAGAUUUCUGAAUUUACUUCUGAUGCACAGCUCUGUUUGUAAGCUCCCUUUAGGUAGUGGAAGGCCACAGUGAGGUCUUCCCAGGUCCUUCUCUUCACCAGGAUACCCAAAAAUGUGAUUUUUCUGCCUUACCUCAUGCUUGCAACCUUUGGGAUGCUGAUGCAACCUUGAAAUCACCCAGUGUAAUACAAG
ensembl:lncRNA